rnacentral:piRNA from 1 species
UGUGACUCUAGAGAACCCUGACUAAUACAG